GAGCCCUUACUCGGGUCAAAAUCAUGGCUUGUCCUACCUACCCACACAGGGCUGGAUGAGGGCUAGGGUUGCCAACAGUCCCUUGUUACAAGGGACAGCCCUUAUUUUUUCAUCUCCCUAUAAGAUCAGGAGUUGGUGAGAGCUGCAAAAAGCAGCAAGAAAUACCCCUGGCGAAGAGACGAUGGGAGAAGAUGGCAUGAAAAGGGAUGAAAGGAAAACAGAUUCUGAAAACAUAUCCUGGAGCACUUUUUCAAGCAAGUGAUCAAGGAAAGUUUUUGGGGCCAAGCUCUGCAGCCCUGUAAGAAACAGUAACCAUCAGAGAACAGCUGGGCUCUGAGAUACAGUUUUUGCUGUACUCCUUCUUGCUUUUUAGUUUUCCUUGACUGUUUAACCCACCAUCACUAUUAAAAACAAACAAACACCAAAACAAACUAGACUGAAGAGAGUUCCUCCUUGGAAUCAGGAGCCUAAAAAGCCAUGAAUUUCACAGGUACAUAAGGUUGUCUUUGGUGAGAAGCAGAGAGCAUAGAAGAUUUGACUGACUGAACAGGCAUGCUUAGAGAAACAAAAAACUUGGAAUGAAUCGAACCCCAGUUCCCAGCAACAGGGAAUUCUUAACCUUUCAUAUUAGCACUCCUUCAUACAGCAAGAAAGUACCACCCUAUUUUCUUAUAGCAUCCCUCUAACAUAAAAUUAUUAUUAUAAUUUAUUAUUACUUCAUUUCCAGGCAUGCCCACAAUAUGCUUUCCAAACACAAAAGAAGGCAUGCCCAAAGAGUUUAAACAUUCCCUUGUCUAACCUGAGAUUUUUCAUUAUUGAUUGUAUGUUUGCCUGCAGCCUAUUAUUAUAAACUGGAAUUUUCAAAGGCACUUAGAAGUUUGGCACCCAAAUCUUUAUUGAAUUUCAAAAUUCCACCCACUGUUUCUUUUUGUAUUACUUACUUUAGUACAUAAAGGCCCCCAACUGAGAUUAGCAUUAGGCCCUGUACAAUCACAAAGUAAGGGACUGUAGCUGCCCUGAAAAGCUUGCAAUAUAAAUAGAGUAGGAGAAGGGAAAUAUUUGCAUCCCCAUUUUAGAGACGGGAAGAGAUUAACAAUCAUAUUUGGUACAAAGAGAUUAACAAUCAUAUUUUGCAAAAGUAUCUAAGUGAUUUAGGCUCCUAAGUCCUAUUUUUUUGAGUGACUUGGGUCCAAAUCCUCAAAGGGAUGGGCGUUAGGUGCCUAGUAACUUUUGAAAAUGGAGCCUAGGUUCCUUAGUCACUUGGGGAAAUUUUACCCUAAAUGAUUUGCCCAGGGUUAUAUAGCGGGGUGGCCAAACCCGGGCUCCCGAGCCACAUGAGGCUCUUUUACAGUUAAAGUGUGCCUUGUGGAGCCCUCUACGCCCCCAUUAUUCUCCAUCUACCAGACUGGGAUCGUGCAGGGAGAGCUCGGGAUUUCUGCCUUGCAGCAGUGUGAUGGGGUAGGAGCUUCUGCCCAGCAGGGAGGGACGUCUCGGGGCUUCAGCUCCCCAGAGCAUGCCUGUUGGAGAUUGGGGCUUCAGCAGGAGCAGGGUUGAAGCCCCGAGCCCUGGCAGACCCCUCCCAUGGGUCUGAAGCACCAAGCCUCAGGAGGUGAGCCCCGGGUCUCAAACUUCUGCAAAUUGUCAUGUGCAGCUCGGAGGGUCAGUAAGUUUGGCCAUCCCUGUUAUAAAGGAAGAAUGUGACAGAGCCAGGAACUGAACACACAUUUCCUGAAUCAGAAGACAGAUUAAUGCAGUAACCCCAAGAUCAUUCUCCCUUUUUUUUUUUUUUUAAAAAAAGGUCAAACCAUCUGUUAAUGUCAAAUGUAGUAACUCUAUGGGUUUCUCUCUCUCUCUCUCUCUCUCAAUCACUGUAAAAAAUAAGAGAGACAGAAACAGAUACAUGGUCUUUGAUUUAUUUUACAACCAGAAAAUGUGAUUAGAAGUAUCUGAAUGUAGGUACCUACGGCAGAACUUAGUUUUUGCCAGUUCUAUGCCAAAUCUGGAAUGACAGGCUCCUAACCCUUAAAUGGAAGGAAACCUGGUUGAUGCGUAAGUAGCAAAGUAUCAAUAGGCAUAAUAUGCAAUUGCUGGCCAAUAAGGGACCCAGCUUGAAAUAAUACUCUAGAGUAUUCUAGUUCCCCUGUGGUCACUGAGUCUCUACACCUAAUGAUGUGUUAAACUGACAGGAUAAAAUCCAUUGAGAUUUCAUGGGAUGAAGCAUAGCGGUAUGAUCUUGGGGAUGGGUGAGGGUUAGCAGUGUUGCUUUGUGUCCCCUAGCCGUAUAAAUACGAGGAAGUAGAAGAGGAUGAGUUUGAUCAAGAAUUUUUUUGCUCUUGGAGUCAGUGAGGAGCUCUGGCUAGUGCAGCUUCACUGAUGAUGUGUUGCCAGGGAGCAAGAGGACCCAGUGAGGGCCAGAGCUGGUGUAGAGUGUCCAUAUUGAUGCACCAGGUCUCUCAGGGAUCCAACAGAUGUGGGGUGGGCCUUGCCUCCUUUUGAACCCCAAUGGGAUAACAUGGAGGGUCUCUGGGAGUGGUUUUUCCCCCAGAAGCCUCCUCCUGUGCCUUUUAACGUGGGAGGUGAGGAUGUGGACCAAAGGUUACUGUAUCUGUAGGACUAACGAUAAUAGUCUGGAGGCACGAUCACGUAAACGUGGAAGUUGAAUUUCAAAUGUCGGGACAUGGCAAUACACAGGCAAUACAUAAUUAUAGUGGAAAUGAUCAUAUUUCUUUGUCAAACGAAUGCUGUAAUUGUUAUUUGAACUGAUUUGUGUAUCUUGAUGCAAAUCUGAGCAAACAUGAAUGUCAUUCAUUUGUUAUAAUUCGAGGAACUAAAAUACCUAACCCUG